GACGAACGCUGGCGGCGUGCUUAACACAUGCAAGUCGAGCGGUAAGGCCCUUUCGGGGGUACACGAGCGGCGAACGGGUGAGUAACACGUGGGUGACCUGCCCUCAGCUCUGGGAUAAGCCCGGGAAACUGGGUCUAAUACCGGAUAUGACUCCAUGACGCAUGUUGUGGGGUGGAAAGCCUUGUGCGGCUGAGGAUGGGCCCGCGGCCUAUCAGCUUGUUGGUGGGGUGAUGGCCACCAAGGCGACGACGGUAGCCGGCCUGAGAGGGCGACCGGCCACACUGGGACUGAGACACGGCCCAGACUCCUACGGGAGGCAGCAGGUGGGGAAUCUUGCGCAAUGGGCGAAAGCCUGACGCAGCGACGCCGCGUGAGGGAUGACGGCC
rnacentral:rRNA from 1 species